rnacentral:rRNA from 1 species
CAAAGAUUAAGCCAUGCAUGUCUAAGUAUAAACAAAUCUAUACAGUGAAACUGCGAAUGGCUCAUUAUAUCAGUUAUAAUUUAUUUGAUGAUACAAUUUACUACUUGGAUAACCGUGGUAAUUCUAGAGCUAAUACAUGCAAAACAUACUCCGACUUCUGGAAGGAGAGCAUUUAUUAGAUACAAAACCAAUGGGGGCAACCUCUUAUUUGGUGAAUCAUAAUAACUAAGCUUAUCGCAUGGCCUUGUGCCGGCGAAGGAUCAUUCAAAUUUCUGCCCUAUCAACUGUCGAUGGUAGUAUAGGGGACUACCCAUGGUGGUAACGGGUAACGGGGAAUUAGGGUUCGAUUCCGGAGAGGGAGCCUGAGAAAUGGCUACCACUUCUAAGGAAGGCAGCAGGCGCGCAAAUUACCCAAUCCUGACACAGGGAGGUAGUGACAAUAAAUAACAAUCCAGGGCUUACUAGUCUUGGAAUUGUAAUGAGCACAAUUUAAACACCUUAACGAGGAACAAUUGGAGGGCAAGUCUGGUGCCAGCAGCCGCGGUAAUUCCAGCUCCAAUAGCGUAUAUUAAAGUUGUUGCAGUUAAAAAGCUCGUAGUUGAACUUUAGGUUUAUCGGCUUGUGAUAACAAUAUGGGGGUGCUCUAUUCCGCUGCUUGUUUGAUUUAUUAGGCAGGUAGUAGGAGGGGUGCUCUCGUGUCGCAAUGCUGAGGCCUUACAUUUCCGGCGUGGAACCUCUUGUUGGUGCUUUCGGGUGCCACAGGGGGAACAAAUUUCAUUGCCGGGACUUUUACCUUGAAAAAAUUAGAGUGUUCAAAGCAGGCGUUUAUAGCCCGGAUAUGUUAGCAUGGAAUAAUAGAAUAGGACUUUGGUUUUAUUUUGUUGGUUUCUGAAACCAAGGUAAUGAUUAAUAGGGACAGUUGGGGACAUUUGUAUGGCACUGUCAGUGGUGAAAUACUUGAACCAGUGUCAGAGAAACUGAUGCGAAAGCGUCUGUCAAGGAUGUUUUCAUUAAUCAAGAACGAAAGUUAGGGGAUCGAAGACGAUUAGAUACCGUCGUAGUCUUAACCAUAAACUAUGCCGACUCGGGAUCAGGCAAUGUUAAAAUAAUAUGACUUGCUUGGCACCGUAUGAGAAAUCAAAGUUUUUGGGUUMCGGGGGGAGUAUGGUCGCAAGGCUGAAGCUUAAAGGAAUUGGACGGAAGGGCACCACCAGGAAGUGGAGCCUGAGGCUCAAUUCGACUCAACACGGGAAAACUCACCAGGUCCAGACAUAGUGAGGAUUGACAGAUUGAAAGCUCUUUCUUGAUUCUAUGGGUGGUGGUGCAUGGCCGUUCUUAGUUGGUGGAGUGAUUUGUCUGGUUAAUUCCGAUAACGAACGAGACCUUAACCUGCUAAAUAGGCCCCGCUAUUCUGAAUUAAAUUUUUGAUUUUAGAAUGGGCGGGAAAAAAAUAAAUAGCUUCUUAGAGGGACUGUUAGUGGUUAGCUAACGGAAGUUUGAGGCAAUAACAGGUCUGUGAUGCCCUUAGAUGUUCUGGGCUGCACGCGCGCUACACUGAUGAAGUCAACGAGUAUAGCAGAUAAAAAUGCACGUCCUUGGCCGAAAGGUCUGGGUAAUCUUGGGAAACUUCAUCGUGAUGGGGAUAGACCAUUGCAAUUAUUGGUCUUGAACGAGGAAUUCCUAGUAAGCGCAAGUCAUCAGCUUGCGUUGAUUACGUCCCUGCCCUUUGUACACACCGCCCGUCACUACUACCGAUGAAUGGCUUAGUGAGACUCCGGACUGGCUAUAAUCGCUUGGCAACGAGCUUUUACUGCUGGGAAGCUGUUCAAACUUGGUCAUUUAGAGGAAGUAAAAGUCGUAACAA